UUUUUUCGCGUCAUUCAUCUUUAUAAAUUAAUCAGCUGUUAGUAUUUAAUUGUACAACAGACUUCUUUUGUUGGCGUAGGUUAUGUUUUAUUAAUUAAUAAAUUAAAUUAUGAUUCAUUCUCAUCGUGAGUGUUGAAAAGUUUUAGUGUGGUGCUGUGCUACAAUGUUACGCCAGUGUAAAAAGACGGUCUGGGAACAGAGAGAUUAAUUGGGAAUCCUUAGUUACUGCGGUCCUCUGUUUCCGUGUGUGCAGUGCGGGAAGGUUUACAAGUCCAAAGCUUGUUGGUACAGGCACACUCGCAACGAGUGUAACAGGGAGCCUUCCAUAGCUUGUCCACGUUGUGAGUAUCGCACGCACCAACGUGCUCAUCUCCGCAGACACAUGUUCACAAGGCACAACGAGAUUCUACCUCCCGUCUUGCCGGGGCGGAGGCCUUUGUAACUGAUUAUACGUUUUUGGUCAACUGUCA